rnacentral:rRNA from 1 species
UUGGAGGGCAAGUCUGGUGCCAGCAGCCGCGGUAAUUCCAGCUCCAAUAGCGUAUAUUAAAGUUGUUGCAGUUAAAAAGCUCGUAGUUGAAUUUCGGGGUUAGUAGAUUGGUCGUGCCACUGGUACGUACUGGUCUUACUGAUUCCUCCCUCCUGAUGAACUGUAAUGCCAUUAAUUUGGUGUUGCAGGGAAUCUGGACUGUUACUUUGAAAAAAUUAGAGUGUUUAAAGCAGGCUAACGCUUGAAUACAUUAGCAUGGAAUAAUGAAAUAGGACGCUCGAUCCUAUUUUGUUGGUUUCUAGGAUUGACGUAAUGAUUAAUAGGGAUAGUUGGGGGCAUUAGUAUUCAAUUGUCAGAGGUGAAAUUCUUGGAUUUAUUGAAGACUAACUACUGCGAAAGCAUUUGCCAAGGAUGUUUUCAUUAAUCAAGAACGAAAGUUAGGGGAUCGAAGACGAUCAGAUACCGUCGUAGUCCUAACCAUAAACUAUGCCGACUAGGGAUCGGAUGAUGUUAAUUUUUUAAUGACUCAUUCGGCACCUUACGGGAAAC